ACACAGACACGGCCGCAUUCAGGACCAGCCAGCAUCUAAAUAGGAGGAAUAAUCGCUCCAGAAAGAGAUGAAUGGCACACAAGGAACGGCUUCUGCCUUACGGGCAUUACUAAAACCCUCACCUCGCCCAUGCGCCCCUACGGCACGCAGGUCAACCGGUGAGCGCUGUGCUUCAGCUCCCUUUCUGCGCCCCGAAGACACGCACGUGGCCACGCGCGGCAGCAGGAAACACCAUGAGGCAGAACCGGAAGGACUGCGGGGCUGCAUGCCACGGCCACGCCAAUCCCAACUUCUGGGCAGGAAACGUAUGCCAUGGCAGAGCGCUGAAGAUGACUCAAAUCGCCUCUCCCCCACCCUCCGGUGCCACGGAACAACAGCCCUCUUCAGCCAGGGGAGGGGGACCACGUGGAGGGAUGACUCAAAGCUCUGGGAUAGGGGAAAAACCCACAGAGCAGAGCACACAGCCCACCCCCCCAAACUCACACCGCCUCAUGUUAUAUUAAUUAAACACACAACAACUGCCUUGAGGUAAUAAACACUACAAAGGCAAAGCCAUCUCGUCCUACCGCAAGAUAAGUUUACUGAGGUCAAACCCCAGGGAAAACUAAUCUAACCACAUUUUCAAAUUGUUUGGAAUAUUCCAUAGCCCAACAAAACCAUAAAUUGACAAAAACAUCCUAUCCUAGAAUAGCGUGGGGAUAACAAAGAAUGUUUUGUUUAAUUAAAGGCAGAUGACCUAAUAAAAGUUUCACACUCACAGUGCGCAAAUAAAUCUUCGUCUUUGUU
rnacentral:lncRNA from 7 species